rnacentral:rRNA from 1 species
UGGGGAAUAUUGCACAAUGGGGGGAACCCUGAUGCAGCGACGCCGCGUGAGUGAAGAAGUAUCUCGGUAUGUAAAGCUCUAUCAGCAGGAAAGAAAUACCGGCCGUAAGGCCGGCAGACGGUACCUGACCAAGAAGCCCCGGCUAACUACGUGCCAGCAGCCGCGGUAAUACGUAGGGGGCAAGCGUUAUCCGGAUUUACUGGGUGUAAAGGGAGCGUAGACGGCAGCGCAAGUCUGGAGUGAAAUGCCGGGGCCCAACCCCGGAACUGCUUUGGAAACUGUGCGGCUCGAGUGCGGGAGAGGUAGGCGGAAUUCCUAGUGUAGCGGUGAAAUGCGUAGAUAUUAGGAGGAACACCAGUGGCGAAGGCGGCUUACUGGACCGUAACUGACGUUGAGGCUCGAAAGCGUGGGGAGCAAACAGG